rnacentral:rRNA from 1 species
UACAGAGGGUGCAAGCGUUAAUCGGAAUUACUGGGCGUAAAGCGCGCGUAGGCGGUCUGCUAAGUUGAAUGUGAAAUCCCCGGGCUCAACCUGGGAACUGCAUCCAAAACUGGCAGGCUAGAGUAUGGUAGAGGGUGGUGGAAUUUCCUGUGUAGCGGUGAAAUGCGUAGAUAUAGGGAGGAACAUCAGUGGCGAAGGCGACCACCUGGACUGAUACUGACACUGAGGUGCGAAAGCGUGGGGAGCAAACAGG